rnacentral:rRNA from 1 species
GACGUAGGGCGCGAGCGUUUGUCCGGAUUUAUUGGGCGUAAAGAGCUCGUAGGCGGCUUGUCGCGUCGACUGUGAAAUCCCGCGGCUCAACCGCGGGUCUGCAGUCGAUACGGGCAGGCUAGAGUUCGGUAGGGGAGACUGGAAUUCCUGGUGUAGCGGUGAAAUGCGCAGAUAUCAGGAGGAACACCGAUGGCGAAGGCAGGUCUCUGGGCCGAUACUGACGCUGAGGAGCGAAAGCGUGGGGAGCGAACGGG